rnacentral:lncRNA from 1 species
GGAAAGCAGCAGCCGCUUGGAUCGCCGGCCGGGCCGAGCCGAGCCACCAUGGGGAAAAUCGCGCUGCAGCUCAAAGCCACGCUGGAGAAUGUCACCAACCUCCGGCCAGUGGGCGAGGACUUCCGGUGGUACCUGAAGGUAAGGCUGGAGGGGCAGGGCGCUAGACAUCUAGGCUGUAGGCGCUUGGAGGUGCUGAGUGGGAGCUCCAAGGGCCAGCCCGGAUUCAGGUUUCCCGACCUGAGCCCAGCAGUGAACAGUUUUUCUCUCUGGCAAGAAGGGAAAUGUUUAACAAAUGUUCUCGUGUCUUGGUAGAAUUUUACGGUUUUUUAAAAAAAAAUUUAUUGGUUAAUUCCUAAUUGGCAGUGGCCUGGAAUUCCUUUUGUAACUUUUCCAUAAAUGUUAAGUAUUUAAUGUUUUAUGGUAUGUAAACAAACACUAAACGAAAGUACUUGAAAGGAUCUAGGGAUUAUUUAGCAAGAAUAAUUUUAUCUGUUGAUUAAGCUUUAUUGUGAAGUCCAUUAAUUUUUUUAAAAAAAUGUAUUACAGUUGAUUUACAGUGUUCUGUCAACUUCGGCUGUACAGCAAAUGAUGCAGCUAUACACAUAUAUACGUUAUUUUUCUCACACUAUUCUCCAUUGUGUUCCAUCACAGGUGAUGAGAUAUAGUUCCUUGUGCUGUACAUCAGGAUCUCAUUGCUUAUCCAUUCCAAAUGCAAUAGUUUGUAUCUACUAACCCCCAACUCCUAGGCCAUCCUGCUCCCUCCCCCUCAGCCACCAGAAGUCUCUUCUCCAUGUCCAUGAGUUUGUUUCUUUUCUGUACAUUGGUUCGUUUGUGCCGUAUAUUAGAUUCCAGAUAUAAGUGAUACCAUAUGGUAUUUGUCUUUCUUUUUCUGACUUUAUUAGUAUGAGUCUCCAGUUCCAUCCAUGUUGCUGCAAAUGGCAUUUUUGUUUUUUUAUGGCUGAGUCGUAGUCCACUGUGUAUAUAUACCACAUCUUCUUAAUCCAGUCUUCUGUCACUGGACAUUUAGAUUUUUUCCAUGUCUUGGCUAUUGUGAAUAAUGUUCAUUGAACAUUGCGGUGCGUGUAUCUUUUUCAGUGAAAGUUUUGUCUGGAUGUGUGCCCAGGAGUGGGAUUGCUGGAUCAUGUAGUAGUUCUAUAUUUAGUUUUCUGAGGCACCUCCAUACUGUUUUCCAGAGUGGUUGUACCAGUUUACACUCCCAUCAGCAGGGCAGGAGGGUUCCCUUUUCUUCACAUUCUCUCAGGCAUUUCUUAUUUAUAGACUUAAUAAUAUGGCCAUUGUGACCUGUGUGAAGUGGUAACUUACGGUAGUAUUGAUUUGCAUUUCUCUAGUAAUUAGAGGUGUUGAACCAUCUGUGUGUCUUCUUUGGAGAAAUGUCUAUUGAGGUCUUCUGCCCACUUGUCAAUUGGGUUGUUUGUUUUUUUGUUGUUGAGUUGUAUGAGUUGCUUGUAUAAUUUGGAGAUUAAGUCCUUGUCGGUUGCAUCGUUUGAAACUAUUUUCUCCCAUUCCGUAGGUUGUGGGUGUUUUUAUGGUUUCCUUUGCUUUGCAAAAGCUUGUAAGUUCAGUUAGGUCUCAUUGCUUUAUUUUUGUUUUUAUUUCUAUUGCUUUGAGAGACUGACCAAAGAAAACAUUUGUAUGGUUGAUGUCAGAGAAUGUUUUGCCUAUGCUCUCUUUUAGGAGUUUGAUGGUGUCUUGUCUUACGUUUAAGUCUUUAAGCCAUUCUGAAUUUAUUUUUGUGCAUGGUGUGAGGGUGUGUUCCAGUUUCAAUGAUUUACAUGCAGCUGUCCAGUUUUCCCAGCACUGCUGAAAAGACUCUUUUUCCCAUUUUUUAUUCUUGCCUCUUUUGUUGAAGAUUAAUUGACUAUAGGUGUAUAGGUUUAUUUCUGGGUUCUCUAUUCUGUUCCAUUGGGCUAU